rnacentral:rRNA from 1 species
CACGUAGGGCGCGAGCGUUGUCCGGAAUUAUUGGGCGUAAAGAGCGUGUAGGCGGCCAGGUAGGUCAGCUGUGAAAACUCGAGGCUCAACCUCGAGACGCCGGUUGAAACCAUCUGGCUAGAGUCCGGAAGAGGAGAGUGGAAUUCCUGGUGUAGCGGUGAAAUGCGCAGAUAUCAGGAAGAACACCCGUGGCUAAGGCGGCUCUCUAGUACGGUACUGACGCUGAGACGCGAAAGCGUGGGGAGCGAACAGG